CCUACGGGGGGCUGCAGUGAGGAAUUUUGCGCAAUGGGCGAAAGCCUGACGCAGCGACGCCGCGUGGACGAUGAAGGUCUUCGGAUUGUAAAGUCCAGUAAGCAGGGACGAAUAAGCAAGGGGUAAUAUUCCUUGUGAUGACGGUACCUGUCUAAAGCCUCGGCUAACUACGUGCCAGCAGCCGCGGUAAUACGUAUGAGGCGAGCGUUGUUCGGAAUUAUUGGGCAUAAAGGGCGUGUAGGCGGGGGACUAAGUUAGGUGUGAAAGCCACGGGCUCAACCCGUGAAUUGCAUCUAAUACUGGUUCUCUUGAGUUCGGGAGAGGAGAGCGGAAUUCCAGGUGUAGCGGUGAAAUGCGUAGAUAUCUGGAAGAACACCAGUGGCGAAGGCGGCUCUCUGGCCUAGGACUGACGCUAAGGCGCGAAAGCGUGGGGAGCGAACGGGCUUAGAUACCCCGGUAGUC
rnacentral:rRNA from 1 species